GAAAAUUGUCUUGACAUACAGGCAAUAAUUAUGGAUGAAGAAGGAAGAGAUGAAGGUACCGAUGAUAUUAUAGAAUUCCCGCUACUGAAGCGACUAAGUAUAAUGGACUGUCCCACAGAGAAAUUCUUUUCAUAUACUCAUGGAAAGAAAGAGCUAAUAAUCAAUACUUCAGAAUCACAAGAUGUUUGUUCCGAUUC